rnacentral:rRNA from 1 species
GAUGAACGCUGGCGGCGUGCCUAAUACAUGCAAGUCGAGCGAACGGACGAGAAGCUUGCUUCUCUGAUGUUAGCGGCGGACGGGUGAGUAACACGUGGAUAACCUACCUAUAAGACUGGGAUAACUUCGGGAAACCGGAGCUAAUACCGGAUGAUAUUUUGAACCGCAUGGUUCAAAAGUGAAAGACGGUCUUGCUGUCACUUAUAGAUGGAUCCGCGCUGCAUUAGCUAGUUGGUAAGGUAACGGCUUACCAAGGCAACGAUGCAUAGCCGACCUGAGAGGGUGAUCGGCCACACUGGAACUGAGACACGGUCCAGACUCCUACGGGAGGCAGCAGUAGGGAAUCUUCCGCAAUGGGCGAAAGCCUGACGGAGCAACGCCGCGUGAGUGAUGAAGGUCUUCGGAUCGUAAAACUCUGUUAUUAGGGAAGAACAUAUGUGUAAGUAACUGUGCACAUCUUGACGGUACCUAAUUAGAAAGCCACGGCUAACUACGCG